rnacentral:lncRNA from 1 species
UAAAUCUAGCUCCAACAUCUUACAUGAGAAUGAAUUGAAUUCAGAUUCUUUAAUGGCCCACCCUGGAGUUUUAUCCCUCCUGGUAAUAAUUUCAUGACCAACACAA